GCUUAUACNUGCAGUCGAGCGGUCUCUUUCGGGAGACAGCGGCGGACGGGUUAGUAACGCGUGGGAACGUGCCCUUUAGUACGGAAUAGCCAUUGGAAACGAUGAUUAAUACCGUAUACGCCCUAUGGGGGAAAGAUUUAUCGCUAAAGGAUCGGCCCGCGUUAGAUUAGGUUGUUGGUGGGGUAAUGGCCUACCAAGCCUACGAUCUAUAGCUGGUUUGAGAGGAUGAUCAGCAACACUGGGACUGAGACACGGCCCAGACUUCUACGGAAGGCAGCAGUAGGGAAUCUUGGACAAUGGGCGAAAGCCUGAUCCAGCCAUGCCGCGUGAGUGAUGAAGGCCCUAGGGUUGUAAAACUCUUUCGCCAGGGAAGAUAAUGACGGUACCUGGUAAAGAAACCCCGGCUAACUCCGUGCCAGCAGCCGCGGUAAUACGGAGGGGGUUAGCGUUGUUCGGAAUUACUGGGCGUAAAGCGCACGUAGGCGGACUAGUCAGUCAGAGGUGAAAUCCCGAGGCUCAACCUCGGAACUGCCUUUGAUACUGCUAGUCUAGAGUUCGAGAGAGGUGAGUGGAAUUCCGAGUGUAGAGGUGAAAUUCGUAGAUAUUCGGAGGAACACCAGUGGCGAAGGCGGCUCACUGGAUCGAUACUGACGCUGANGUGCGAAAGCGUGGGGAGCAAACAGGAUUAGAUACCCUGGUAGUCCACGCCGUAAACGAUGAGAGCUAGUCGUCG
rnacentral:rRNA from 1 species